GAUGAACGCUGGCGGCGUGCUUAACACAUGCAAGUCGAACGGGAUCCCAGGAGCUUGCUCCUGGGUGAGAGUGGCGAACGGGUGAGUAAUGCGUGACCGACCUGCCCCAUACACCGGAAUAGCUCCUGGAGACGGGUGGUAAUGCCGGAUGCUCCGACAUGACGCAUGUCGUGUUGGGAAAGAUUCUAUCGGUAUGGGAUGGGGUCGCGUCCUAUCAGGUAGUCGGCGGGGUAACGGCCCCACCGAGCCUA
rnacentral:rRNA from 1 species